rnacentral:rRNA from 1 species
ACGAGUGGCGGACGGGUGAGUAAUGUCUGGGAAACUGCCUGAUGGAGGGGGAUAACUACUGGAAACGGUAGCUAAUACCGCAUAACGUCGCAAGACCAAAGAGGGGGACCUUCGGGCCUCUUGCCAUCGGACGUGCCCAGAUGGGAUUAGCUUGUUGGUGGGGUAACGGCUCACCAAGGCGACGAUCCCUAGCUGGUCUGAGAGGAUGACCAGCCACACUGGAACUGAGACACGGUCCAGACUCCUACGGGAGGCAGCAUG